rnacentral:rRNA from 1 species
UACGUAGGGGGCAAGCGUUGUCCGGAAUCAUUGGGCGUAAAGAGCGUGUAGGCGGCUCGGUAAGUCCGCUGUAAAAGUCCAGGGCUCAACCCUGGGAAAGCCGGUGGAAACUGUCGAGCUAGAGUCCGGAAGAGGCGAGUGGAACUUCCGGUGGAGCGGUGAAAUGUGUUGAUAUCGGAAGGAACGCCGGUGGCGAAAGCGACACACUGGGGU